UACGUAGGGUGCAAGCGUUGUCCGGAAUUAUUGGGCGUAAAGAGCUCGUAGGCGGUCUGUUGCGUCGACGGUGAAAACCCUCAGCUCAACUGGGGGCCUGCCGUCGAUACGGGCAGACUUGAGUGCGGUAGGGGAGACCGGAAUUCCUGGUGUAGCGGUGAAAUGCGCAGAUAUCAGGAGGAACACCGGUGGCGAAGGCGGUUCUCUGGGAAUAUCCUGACGCUGAGGAGCGAAAGUGUGGGGAGCGAACAGG
rnacentral:rRNA from 1 species